rnacentral:lncRNA from 1 species
GCUCGCGAGUAGCUGGGACUACAGGCUCCAGCCACCACGCCUGGCUAAUUUUUUGUAUUUUUAGUAGAGACGGGGUUUCACCGUGUUAGCCAGGAUGGUCUCUAUCUCCUGACCUCAUGAUCCACCCGCCUCGGCCUCCUAAAGUGCUGGGAUUACAGGCGUGAGCCACGGCGCCCCGCCUGCUUUUCUCCUUUCUGGCUACAUUGUGAAUGUGAGAGCUGGAGCGUGAAUACGCACCUUAGACUAUGAGUGGAAACCAUGUGCUAAGGAUGAUAGAGCCAAAGAUAAGAGCCCGGUUUCCUGGCAUCGUGGGACGGCGCGUCACCUCUAGAGAGACUACUACCUCCCUAGAGAGAUUUUUAACGAUGCUGUGACUACAACCCUCUGUUUAGUUAGUGGAAUUGAGAACAAGGCCCAGGUGGAUGAUUGAGGACUAAACCCCAAACUUGCCUUGGAUCACUCCACUGUUUCAGCCAAUUGACCCUGAUAAUGGAAUACUCUUAUCAACACCCUUUUAAUGGAAUAUGGCUGUCAAGAAUCCCCACCUACACCAUGUUUUUCUAAUGUCAUUUUGGAGAAGCAAUAUCAAAAAUAGAUACCACCUUCUGACAUUCUGGAAUGAUUUGCAUUAAACUCACAAAGAGGCCUGAAGUUGAUUUCUUAAGGAAGGAACUCACAUAAAACAAAU